rnacentral:lncRNA from 1 species
UGAGGUCGCUAUGUUGUUGAUGAGUUGAGAUAUGUUAGGUUAAGUUGUGUUAGUACUCAAGAACUAGCCUUUGAAUACGCCGCACAAGCACUGCUCGGCCGAAUUGGUUUAAUAUAAGCUCGCAAGCUGUUAGCCCUGGCCAGCCAACUUAUUCCCCGUGGGAUUGUUGUUGCCUACACAUAAGACCAUCAUGUAUCUCACAUUAGUUUUCGUCCUCAUGCAAUCAGACUCCUUCCUUUAAAUUCUAAGGUUUUGAGGCCAUUUAUUUGUUUUUUUUGGCCUCCAAGAUGGAGUUAAUUUGUUGGUUCGGAUGGAUAAAGCUUC